rnacentral:rRNA from 1 species
AUUGAACGCUGGCGGCAUGCCUUACACAUGCAAGUCGAACGGUAACAGGUCUUCGGAUGCUGACGAGUGGCGAACGGGUGAGUAAUACAUCGGAACGUGCCUAGUAGUGGGGGAUAACUACUCGAAAGAGCGGCUAAUACCGCAUGAGAUCUACGGAUGAAAGCAGGGGAUCGCAAGACCUUGUGCUACUACAGCGGCCGAUGGCAGAUUAGGUAGUUGGUGGGAUAAAAGCUUACCAAGCCGACGAUCUGUAGCUGGGCUGAGAGGACGAUCAGCCACACUGGGACUGAGAAACGGCCCAGACUCCUACGGGAGGCAGCAGUGGGGAAUUUUGGACAAUGGGCGCAAGCCUGAUCCAGCAAUGCCGCGUGCAGGAUGAAGGCCUUCGGGUUGUAAACUGCUUUUGUACGGAACGAAAAGCCCCGGGUUAAUACCCUGGGGUCAUGACGGUACCGUAAGAAUAAGCACCGGCUAACUACGUGCCAGCCGCCGCCGUAA